rnacentral:rRNA from 1 species
CCUACGGGAGGCAGCAGUGGGGAAUCUUGCGCAAUGGGCGAAAGCCUGACGCAGCCAUGCCGCGUGAAUGAUGAAGGUCUUAGGAUUGUAAAAUUCUUUCACCGGGGACGAUAAUGACGGUACCCGGAGAAGAAGCCCCGGCUAACUUCGUGCCAGCAGCCGCGGUAAUACGAAGGGGGCUAGCGUUGCUCGGAAUUACUGGGCGUAAAGGGAGCGUAGGCGGAUAGUUUAGUCAGAGGUGAAAGCCCAGGGCUCAACCUUGGAAUUGCCUUUGAUACUGGCUAUCUUGAGUGUGGGAGAGGUAUGUGGAACUCCGAGUGUAGAGGUGAAAUUCGUAGAUAUUCGGAAGAACACCAGUGGCGAAGGCGACAUACUGGCCCAUUACUGACGCUGAGGCUCGAAAGCGUGGGGAGCAAACAGGAUUAGAUACCCUGGUAGUCCACGCUGUAACGAUGAGUGCUAGUUGUCGGUCGAGGCGAUGCCUCGUCGGUGGACGCGAGCUACGCAUUAAGCACUCCGCCGUCGGGGAGGUACGGUCGGCGAAGAAUUAAAACUACAAUAGAAGUUAGACGGCGUGAGACGUGCCGACGGACGACGACGAGGGGAGGUUAGG